rnacentral:snRNA from 1 species
AGGUUCCCUUUUACCAGCUUUCCUGUCCCCUCCUGCCUUCUAGUCCUUGCGAGGACGACCUUCCCCAAAAGAGAGGACCGUCCUUCGGUCAACGGUAUACGAGUAGCUGUGCUCCCCUACUAGAACCUCCAAACAAGCUCUCAAAGCUUUAUUUUUUUAGUUUAAAAAUUAUCUGUCAUAAACUGUAUAAUAUGAUUUAUGUCGAUCAAU